AACGCACCUUGCGCCCCUUGGCCAUUCCUUGGGGCACACCUGUUUGAGUGUUAUGAAAUUCUCAACCCUCUCCCUUCCUUGAGUGAAAGGGAUGUGAGCUUGGACUUUGGAGGCCUCUUUGCUGGCGACGGUUGCUGGCUCCUCUGAAAUGGAUUAGCGAGAGAGGUGCGUUGCGCAUGUGUGUGUGCAUGCAUGUUGGCCCGUCUCAUCUCUUGGUGUGAUAAAGCUUUGUCUACGCCGUUUGAAGGAUGGCCAUUGAAGCGCUCGCUUAUAGCUGUUGUCCUGAAUGUCUUGGGACAAACUUUUGAACCUUUUGACCUCAAAUCAGGUGGGACUACCCGCUGAACUUAA
rnacentral:misc_RNA from 1 species